UAAAUAUCUAUAGAAAUCCAGAAUAUUCAUUAAAUCUCGGUGUUUUUAAUCCCAACAGAUUCUUACCAAAAAAUAUAUUUAAUGCAGGAUGAAGAAAUUGCAUCGAUAACUAUUGCAUGCAGAAAUGAGAAAAAAUAAAUAUAAUCAUGUUAUUUUUUUUUGUCGGUCGAAAAUUCUUAAUACUUGAUCUUAAACGAAUGGAAACUUACAUAUUCUUUCCACAUUCCAUUUUCUCCAAAAUGAAAUAAAUUGGAACUACAAUUCCAGAUAGCCCGAAUAAUUCCACAACUUUAUCAACGUACGGUAAUGGCCACCUAAUGAACACAAACAAUCCGUGAGAGAGCUUUCGAAAUAGAUAUGCACCAAGAUAGAGAUUUAAAAAGGAUAACGAACCACUACUAAUGAACUCUCCUCAUCGACAUAAUUUUAUCAAGCGACAGAAAAUUGGAUCAUACUAAAAGGAAAUUCAGCGGUAUUUUUUAUCUACUUCAUCGAAUAAAGUUCAUCGAAAUGAAGGACAUUGAA